rnacentral:rRNA from 1 species
AACAAACGCUGGCGGCGUGUCUUAAGCAUGCAAGUCGAGCGGCAAGGGCAGCAAUGCCCCUAGAGCGGCGGACUGGUGAGUAACGCGUGGGUGAUCUACCUAGGGCAUGGGGAUAGCCAUUAGAAAUAGUGGGUAAUACCGAAUACGUUCGCAUGGAUGCGUCCAUGCGAGGAAAGGUGCUACGGCACCGGCCUAUGAUGAGCUUGCGUCUGAUUAGCUAGUUGGUGAGGUAAAGGCCCACCAAGGCGAUGAUCGGUAGCCGGCCUGAGAGGGUGUACGGCCACACUGGGACUGAGAUACGGCUCAGACUCCUACGGGAGGCAGCAGCUAAGAAUAUUCCGCAAUGGACGAAGUCUGACGGAGCGACGCCGCGUGGAUGAUGAAGGCCGAAAGGUUGUAAAGUCCUUUGCUGGGAAGAAAAGCGUGGAGGGAAGUGCCGCGUCGAGUAGUACAUAGAACCGGACGAACGUAAAGACCCGGCCGUAACCUUAACCG